rnacentral:rRNA from 1 species
AGUGAACGCUGGCGGCGUGCUUAACACAUGCAAGUCGAACGAGAACGGAUUAUAGCUUGCCAUAAUUGUCAGCUAAGUGGCGCACGGGUGAGUAAUGUAUAGGUAAUAUGCCUCUUACUAAGGGAUAACAAAUGGAAACGUUUGCUAAUACCUUAUACUCCUUAUUAACAGAAGUUAAUAAGGGAAAGAUUUAUUGGUAAGAGAUUAGCCUGUAUUGUAUCAGUUAGUUGGUGGGGUAAUGGCUUACCAAGACUAUGACACAUAACUGGUUUGAGAAGAUGAUCAGUCACACUGGAACUGAGACACGGUCCAGACUCCUACGGGAGGCAGCAGUGGGGAAUAUUGCACAAUGGACGAAAGUCUGAUGCAGCAACGCCGCGUGGAGGAUGACACAUUUCGGUGCGUAAACUCCUUUUAUAUGAGAAGAUAAUGACGGUAUUAUAUGAAUAAGCACCGGCUAACUCCGUGCCAGCAGCCGCGGUAACAC